GACAGAGGAUGCAAGCGUUAUCCGGAAUGAUUGGGCGUAAAGCGUCUGUAGGUGGCUUUUUAAGAUCGCCGUCAAAUCCCAGGGCUCAACCCUGGACAGGUGGUGGAAACUACCAAGCUAGAGUACGGUAGGGGCAGAGGGAAUUUCCGGUGGAGCGAUGAAAUGCGUAGAGAUCGGAAGGAACACCCAAGGCGAAAGCACUCUGCUGGGCCGACGCUGACACUGAGAGACGAAAGCUAGGGGAGCAAAUGGG
rnacentral:rRNA from 1 species